CUCUGGAGUGUCAGUUGAGACUUAAACAUGAACCAGUUUCAGUGGAGGUAGACCCUGAACAGUCAAGAUUGGAUGUAGGAAGUUUGUUAGAUCAAAGGAAGGACACAAUCAGUGUCUUCACUUGUACUACAUUACUAAUCUAUUUAAUAGUUAUCCUUCACUCAAACCAACGGAGGAAGGACUACU